UACGGUCAAAUCAAUCUGAAAAAACCGUUUCUCGUACGAUCUGUAAAGUUAAGCAUCUUUAGAGCCAGGUCAGUAUUUUAGAUGGGGACCGCUUGGGAACGAUUGGUACUGUA